rnacentral:pre_miRNA from 1 species
GUUGAACCGAAGACACUAGAAUAACUAGUUACAAGUUAUAGUUAACUAGUUGUUCUAGUGUCUUUGUUUGAAC